rnacentral:rRNA from 1 species
UACGGAGGGGGCUAGCGUUGUUCGGAAUUACUGGGCGUAAAGCGCACGUAGGCGGAACAGAAAGUCAGAGGUGAAAUCCCAGGGCUCAACCUUGGAACUGCCUUUGAAACUCCUGUUCUUGAGGUCGGGAGAGGUGAGUGGAAUUCCGAGUGUAGAGGUGAAAUUCGUAGAUAUUCGGAGGAACACCAGUGGCGAAGGCGGCUCACUGGCUCGAUACUGACGCUGAGGUGCGAAAGCGUGGGGAGCAAACAGG